AUUGCUUCUUGGUCUUGUGGUUAAGAUGGAAUGUAGCAUCUGUUCUUAUCAGUUUAAUAUCUGAUACAUUUUCUAUCUAAGGACAAUAAAUUAAAUGGAUUUUUGGUGCCGGGAGAUGGAGUAGGGCUUUGCUCCGUCUACUCCACAAAUCGAUUUAGUAUUGCAGUACUUCCAGGAACGGUGUACCUCGC